AGAAUCAACGCUGGCGGCGUGCCUCAGACAUGCAAGUCGAACGCGAAAGUUCCCUUCGGGGGAUGAGUAGAGUGGCGCACGGGUGAGUAACACGUAGGUAAUCUACCUUUGGAUGGGGAAUAACAACCGGAAACGGUUGCUAAUACCGCAUAAUGCAGCGGCACCUAAUGGUGACAGUUGUUAAAGCGGGGGAUCGAAAGACCUCGCGUCUGAAGAGGAGCCUGCGGCGGAUUAGCUAGUUGGUAGGUAACGGCCUACCAAGGCUACGAUCCGUA
rnacentral:rRNA from 1 species